rnacentral:rRNA from 1 species
CAGCAGCCGCGGGAAAACGAAGGGGGCUAGCGUUGUUCGGAAUUACUGGGCGUAAAGCGCACGUAGGCGGAUCUUUAAGUCAGGGGUGAAAUCCCGAGGCUCAACCUCGGAACUGCCUUUGAUACUGGGGAUCUCGAGUCCGGAAGAGGUAAGUGGAACUGCGAGUGUAGAGGUGAAAUUCGUAGAUAUUCGCAAGAACACCAGUGGCGAAGGCGGCUUACUGGUCCGGAACUGACGCUGAGGUGCGAAAGCGUGGGGAGCAAACAGGAUUAGAGACCCGAGUAGUCCCUGUCUCUUAUAC